CAACCUUCGAAGGUUUGGAGAACAACCACAUUCUGUCCAAUGAAGUGCCCUGCUAACAGCGUAUAUGAGUCCAAGAUGCGUCCAUGCCAACCGACGUGUAUCAAGCCCGAACCAAUCUUCUGUGAGGAUGAGUUGAUGGAAGGCUGCAAGUGUAAUAAAGGCUUCAUCCGAGAUGGUGAUUCGUGUGUCCCCGAGCAGUCAUGUGGCUGUUGGGAUGCAGACAAAAACUAUUACACGAUUGGUGAUGAGCGCAUAAGCUCCGACUGCACGACACUUUACAAGUGUAUCAAAGUAGGAUCAGUCGCCAAGCUAGGGUCCAGUGAGCUUAAACCUUGUGGCAAGGAUGCUGUAUGCAGACCUGGAGACAAAGGGAUAUAUACCUG